rnacentral:lncRNA from 1 species
AACUUUUAUAUUUAAUAUAUAUAAAAAUAAUAUAAUUAUAUUGUUUUCAAAUACACUAAAAUAAAAAUGUUAAAACACUACUUAUCAAAAUUUAUAAAACAUAUUGAUUUUGUAAAUUAUAUUUUGUUAAAAAUAUUUUUACGCUUUUAAAAUACGGAUCAAAAUCUAAUUUAGGUAAAUUACCGUCAGGUACGUCACAUUUUAAUUGAUGUAACGAGAGAUGUAAACGGUCUCUGACAUACACAUCAUUUUUUAUAUGAAAUUAAAUUAGUGAUGUUAACUACAUAACAUCAUAAAGUUGAAAGAUGUUGUCAUGCAUAAUAUAUACUAUGUGGAGGCCCGACUCAAA